UACGAGGGGGGCAAGCGUUGUUCGGAAUUAUUGGGCGUAAAGGGCGCGUAGGCGGCCGAUCAAGUCGGGGGUGAAAGCCUGUGGCUCAACCACAGAAUUGCCUUCGAUACUGUUUGGCUUGAGACCGGAAGAGGUAAGUGGAACUGCGAGUGUAGAGGUGAAAUUCGUAGAUAUUCGCAAGAACACCAGUGGCGAAGGCGGCUUACUGGUCCGGUUCUGACGCUGAGGCGCGAAAGCGUGGGGAGCAAACAGG
rnacentral:rRNA from 1 species